GGGAGGUAGUGACAAUAAAUAACAAUACGGGGCUCUUUAGGGUCUCGUAAUUGGAAUGAGUACAAUUUAAAUCCCUUAACGAGGAACAAUUGGAGGGCAAGUCUGGUGCCAGCAGCCGCGGUAAUUCCAGCUCCAAUAGCGUAUAUUAAAGUUGUUGCAGUUAAAAAGCUCGUAGUUGAAUUUCGGGAUUGACGUGAUGGUCGUGCCUUACGGGGUAUGAACUGUCGCAGUUGAUUCUCACCUUCUGGAGAAGCUCGAUGUCCUUAAUUGGGUGUCUUGCGGAACCAGGACCUUUACCUUGAAAAAUUAGAGUGUUUAAAGCAGGCAUUUUGCUCGAAUACAUUAGCAUGGAAUAAUAGAAUAGGACGGCAUGGUUCUAUUUUGUUGGUUUCUAGGAUCACCGUAAUGAUUAAUAGGGAUAGUUGGG
rnacentral:rRNA from 1 species